GACGAACGCUGGCGGCGUGCUUAACACAUGCAAGUCGAACGGAAAGGCCCUGCUUUUGUGGGGUGCUCGAGUGGCGAACGGGUGAGUAACACGUGAGUAACCUGCCCUUGACUUUGGGAUAACUUCAGGAAACUGGGGCUAUUACCGGAAAGGAGCUCCUGCUGCUGGGUGGGGGUGGGAAAGUUUCGGCGGUUGGGGAUGGACUCGCGGCUUAUCGGCUUGUUGGUGGGGUAGUGGCUUACCAAGGCUUUGACGGGUAGCCGGCCUGAGAGGGUGACCGGCCACAUUGGGACUGAGAUACGGCCCAGACUCCUACGGGAGGCAGCAGUGGGGAAUAUUGCACAAUGGGCGGAAGCCUGAUGCAGCAACGCCGCGUGCGGGAUGACGGCCUUCGGGUUGUAAACCGCUUUCGCCUGUGACGAAGCGUGAGUGACGGUAAUGGGUAAAGAAGCACCGGCUAACUACGUG
rnacentral:rRNA from 1 species